rnacentral:rRNA from 1 species
GGGUGACGGAGAAUUAGGGUUCGAUUCCGGAGAGGGAGCCUGAGAAACGGCUACCACAUCCAAGGAAGGCAGCAGGCGCGCAAAUUACCCAAUCCCGACACGGGGAGGUAGUGACAAUAAAUAACAAUACGGGGUUCUUUCGGAUCUCGUAAUUGGAAUGAGUACAAUUUAAAUCUCUUAACGAGGAACAAUUGGAGGGCAAGUCUGGUGCCAGCAGCCGCGGUAAUUCCAGCUCCAAUAGCGUAUAUUAAAGUUGUUGCAGUUAAAAAGCUCGUAGUUGAAUUUCGGGAUCAGAUUGUCGGUCGUGCCUCGGUACGCACUGGCAUUAUUGGUUCCUACCUUCUGAAGAACCGCGAUGUCAUUAAUUUGGUGUCGUGGGGAAUCAGGACUGUUACUUUGAAAAAAUUAGAGUGUUUAAAGCAGGCGCACGCUUGAAUACAUUAGCAUGGAAUAAUGAAAUAGGACGUUUGAUUCUAUUUUGUUGGUUUCUAGGAUUGACGUAAUGAUUAAUAGGGAUAGUUGGGGGCAUUAGUAUUCAAUUGUCAGAGGUGAAAUUCUUGGAUUUAUUGAAGACUAACUACUGCGAAAGCAUUUGCCAAGGAUGUUUUCAUUAAUCAAGAACGAAAGUUAGGGGAUCGAAGACGAUCAGAUACC